rnacentral:rRNA from 1 species
CGGACGGGUGAGUAACACGUGGAUAACCCACCUAUAAGACUGGGAUAACUUCGGGAAACCGGAGCUAAUACCGGAUAAUAUAUUGAACCGCAUGGUUCAAUGGUGAAAGACGGUUUUGCUGUCACUUAUAGAUGGAUCCGCGCCGCAUUAGCUAGUUGGUAAGGUAACGGCUUACCAAGGCAACGAUGCGUAGCCGACCUGAGAGGGUGAUCGGCCACACUGGAACUGAGACACGGUCCAGACUCCUACGGGAGGCAGCAGAG